rnacentral:rRNA from 1 species
AUUGAACGCUGGCGGCAGGCCUAACACAUGCAAGUCGAGCGAGCGUCGGACGGGUGAGUAAUGUAUGGGGACUCCGCGAUAGAGGGGGAGAACACCACGAAACGGUAGCUAAUAUAGCACACUAUCUGAGAACCCAUAGGGGAGUAGCUAGUAGUGGGGGUAAUGGCUCACCUAGGCGACGAGCCCUAGCUGGUCUGAGAGGAGGAUCAGCCACACUGGGACUGAGACACGGCCCAGACUCCUACGGAGGCAGCAGUGGGGAAUAUUGCACAAUGGGCGCAAGCCUGAUGCAGCCAUGCCGCGUGUAUGAAGAAGGCCUUAGGGUUGUAAAGUACUUUCAGUCGGGAGGCGUUACCCGCAGAAGAAGCACCGGCUAACUCCGUGCCAGCAGCCGCGGUAAUAC